UCUGUUUCACCUCAUGGUGAAACACUGAAAGACGGUUUCGGCUGUCGCUAUAGGAUGGGCCCGCGGCGCAUUAGCUAGUUGGUGAGGUAACGGCUCACCAAGGCGACGAUGCGUAGCCGACCUGAGAGGGUGAUCGGCCACACUGGGACUGAGACACGGCCCAGACUCCUACGGGAGGCAGCAGUAGGGAAUCUUCCACAAUGGGCGAAAGCCUGAUGGAGCAACGCCGCGUGAGUGAAGAAGGAUUUCGGUUCGUAAAACUCUGUUGUAAGGGAAGAACAAGUACAGUAGUAACUGGCUGUACCUUGACGGUACCUUAUUAGAAAGCCACGGCUAACUACGUGCCAGCAGCCGCGGUAAUACGUAGGUGGCAAGCGUUGUCCGGAAUUAUUGGGCGUAAAGCGCGCGCAGGUGGUUUCUUAAGUCUGAUGUGAAAGCCCACGGCUCAACCGUGGAGGGUCAUUGGAAACUGGGAGACUUGAGUGCAGAAGAGGAUAGUGGAAUUCCAAGUGUAGCGGUGAAAUGCGUAGAGAUUUGGAGGAACACCAGUGGCGAAGGCGACUAUCUGGUCUGUAACUGACACU
rnacentral:rRNA from 1 species